rnacentral:tRNA from 1 species
GGUGGGGUACCGAAGUGGUCGUAACGGGGACGACUCGAAAUCGUCUUGCUGCGAAAGUGGCACGUGGGUUCGAAUCCCACCUCCACCGCCA